rnacentral:rRNA from 1 species
UAAGCGGAGGAAAAGAAACUAACAAGGAUUCCCCUAGUAACGGCGAGUGAACAGGGAAGAGCUCAAAUUUGUAAUCUGGCGUCCUUUGGGCGUCCGAGUUGUAAUCUAUAGAAGCGUUUUCCGUGCUGGACCAUGUCCAAGUCCCUUGGAACAGGGUAUCAAAGAGGGUGAUAAUCCCGUACUUGACAUGACGACCAGUGCUCUGUGAUACGUUUUCUACGAGUCGAGUUGUUUGGGAAUGCAGCUCAAAAUGGGUGGUGAGUUCCAUCUAAAGCUAAAUAUUGGCGAGAGACCGAUAGCGAACAAGUACCGUGAGGGAAAGAUGAAAAGCACUUUGGAAAGAGAGUUAAACAGUACGUGAAAUUGUUGAAAGGGAAACGAUUGAAGUCAGUCGUGUCCAUGGGGUUCAGCCGGUUAUGCCGGUGUAUUCCCCUUGGACGGGUCAACAUCAGUUUGGACCGGUGGAAAAGGGUAGUUGGAAGGUAGCAGCUCCGGCUGUGUUAUAGACUUCUACCGCAUACACUGGUUCAGACUGAGGCAUGCAGCUCGCCCUUGUGGCCGGGGUUUACCUACGUACGAGCUUAGGAUGUUGACAUAAUGGCUUUAAACGACCCGUCUUGAAACACG